UGCCAGCAGCCGCGGUAAUACGGAGGGUGCGAACGUUAAUCGGAAUUACUGGGCGUAAAGCGCGCGUAGGCGGUUCAUUAAGUGGGAUGUGAAAGCCCGGGGCUUAACCUCGGAAUUGCAUUCCAAACUGAUGAACUAGAGUACGAGAGAGGGGGGUAGAAUUCAGAGUGUAGCGGUGAAAUGCGUAGAUAUUCUGAGGAAUACCAGUGGCGAAGGCGGCCCCCUGGCUUGAUACUGACGCUCAGGUGCGAAAGCGUGGGGAGCAAACAGGAUUAGAUA
rnacentral:rRNA from 1 species